rnacentral:lncRNA from 1 species
AUGGAUAAUUUAGUGUGUUUAAAGUUAUUCAAAACGAGAAAAAAAAGUAGUAAAAAUAAAAUAUAUACUAUUUUACCUAAUGAAAGUAAUAAUAUAGUAGCUUUGCUUUACAUUCAAAAUAAUGUUAGUCUCGAACAAAAAAGUUUUAGAUUAUGUUAUAAUUUUUCAAAUGGCUGCAAUAAUGACGUUUUACUGAAUAAUAACAUAGUCAGCUGUUUUUGGGUAUAUUGUGAUAAAAACAUGUUUACAAAAAAUGGAGGUGUAAAACAUGAAGUUCCAAUUUUGAUAGCACAACAACCUACUCAAUUAAAUUUUUACAAUUUUACUCAUGUCAGUAGAGUAAAUGCACAAUUAAAAAGCAGUGAAAUAAUUAUACAAGAUAAUUCAUUGCAACUCAGUUAUAAAAAAAAAAAUGGAAGCAAUGAUAAAAGAAAUAUUAUAUAUAACUUUUAUAUAACCUACGACAAACUGUUUACUUUUGUCGGAUCACUAGAUAAUAACCUUUCUAUUCUUAAAUCAUUUGAUAAAAAGUUUAUCAAAAUAAUAUUAAAAAAGGAAAACACCUUUUUUAUUAUACUAAAUGACAUAAUAUGCGUAAAAAUAGUUGCUGAUGGAUUAAGGUGAAAACUGAAAAGAAGUUUGAUAUUAUAAUAUCACGCGAUUAAGAACAGUUCUAUGCGUACAAACACAUACAUACGUGUACAUAUACAUAUAUAUAUAUAUAUAUAUAUAUAUAUAUAUAAAUUUAUUAUUUUUAACUAUUAUAGCUUAAAAGUGAAAAGGAUAACAGCCUUGCAAAAUAUUUCGAUAAAUUUUAAUUAUUAUACUUAUUUUAUCAAGUGUGUGUGCAGGUAAAAAUAAGUUUACUACUCAUAGUGAGGGUAUACAUACAUACAUGUAUAUAUAUAUAUAUAUAUAUAUAUGUGCCAGGUGAAAGCAUGAAUGAUACAAGUGAAAUAUUUUUUUUUUUUUUUUUUAAUUUAGAAACAAUUUCUUAUUUCUGUUAACUCUCACACCUCAACAAUAUUUGAUAAUUUUUAAGAAAGGAAUUCCUUAUUUGGCCAUUAAUAUCAAUGAGCAUGGUAAUUAGUGAAUGUUUUUUUUGCAGCUUUUUUUUUUAUUAUUUCCUUGUUAUCAAAAAAAAAAAAAAAACAGCUCAUCGGCGUAUUUUCAUAUAUCCCACAAUUAUUUUAUACAUAUAUAAACACACUUAACCAUUUAUUUAAUCAUUUAUUUAACCAUUUAUUUAACAAUUUUUUUUUUUUUUUUUUUUUUUUUUUUUAAGUACUCACGUUCUUUACCAAUUUUGAAGUUAACCAUGAUUCGUCAAAAGUGUUGCUAAUUGAUUUUCGCAACCAAGUUUGGUUUUUUGAUUUGAAAAUGUAAGUGAAAAAGAAGAAAAAAAUAUUAGAUGUACAAAAAAAAAAAAAAAAAAAAUGAGAACA